rnacentral:lncRNA from 1 species
CACUGGGUCUGUGGUUCGGGAUCUCACUGGGGUUGUGGUUCUGGAUCUCAAUGGCUCUGUGGUUCUGGCUCUCCCUGGGUCUGUGGUUCUGAGUCGCUGGGGUUGUGGUUCUGGUUCUCACUGGCUCUGUGGUUCUGGCUCUCACUGGGUCUGUGGUUCUGGGUCACCGGGGUUGUGGUUCUGGAUUUCACUGGCUCUGUGGUUCUGGUUCUCACAGGCUCUGUGGUUCUGGGUCACUGGCUCUGUGGCUCGGGAUCUCACUGGGGUUGUGGCUCUGGAUUUCACUGGCUCUGUGGUUCUGGAUUUCAAUGGCUCUGUGGUUCUGGAUCUCACUGGGUCUGUGAUUCUGGCUGUCACUGGCUCUGUGGUUCUGUCACUGAUCUGUGGUUCUGGCUCUCCCUGGUUCUGUGGUUCUGUCACUGAUCUGUGGUUCUGGCUCUCCCUGGCUCUGUGGUUCUGGCUCUCCCUGGCUCUGUGGUUCUGGUCUCUGGCUCUGUGGUUCUGGCUCUCACUGGCUCUGUGGUUCUGGUCUCUGGCUCUGUGGUGCUGGUUCUCACUGGCUCUGUGGUUCUGGCUCUCCCUGGCUCUGUGGUUCUGGUUCUCACUGGCUCUGUGGUUCUGGCUCUCACUGGCUCUGUGGUUCUGGGUCUCUGGGUCCGUGGUUCUGUUUGUUGUUGCUGCUGUUUGGUUCCCUUCUUACACAGACCAGCAAAGAGCUGUUAUUCCUUUUCCCGUAUCUGUGCUCAAAAGCCCCACAAUUUCAAAGUUACAAUAAUUCAGAGGGAAAGGGGUUUCUCCAUUCCACAGGAGGUUCCUGCCUCCCUUGGCAGACACCUGUCUUUCCAAAUGGAACAUUUGCCACUCCAGGCUUUUUUUUAUCACACGAAGGGAUGGGGACUCCACCCUGUCCCGGGGCAAACAAUUCCAGUGCCCAAUCACUCUUUCAGAAAACAUUUUUUUCCUCAUGUCCAACCUAAACUUUCCAUAGCACAGUUUAAGGCUGUGUCUUCUCCUUCUGUCAGUUGUCCCCUGCGAGAAGAGCCCGACCCCCACCUGGCUGCACCCUCCCGUCAGGGAGUUGCAGAGAGUGAUGAGGUCUGCCCUGAGCCUCCUGUCCUCCAGGAUCAACACCCCAGCUCCCUCAGCCGCUCCUCACAGGACUUGUGCUCCAGACCCCUCACCAGCCUUGUUGCCCUUCUCCGGAUGUGUUUAAACAUCUCAAUGUCCUUCUUAAACUGAGAGCCCAGAACUGGGCACAGCACUCAAGGUACGGCCUCACCUGUGCCGAGCACAGGGGAAAAUGUUCCGUUCCUUCCAGGAGGUUCCGUCAGGCCAUGGUGGAACCUUGGUGCCAUGUUGGUGCACAGCCUCACAGUGCUCUCCUGGUUUCCAUGAGGUUCCAGAGCCUCACAGUGCUCUCCUGGCUUCCAUGAGGCCAAACUGUGUCCCACUGGAGCCUGGGUUCCAUGAGCUCUGGCAAGCUCCCAGUGGCAUCUGGGUUCAGUGAGGCCCAGCUCUCACGGUUGACACCUGGUUAAAAGAGGUUCCAUAACCUCAUUCUGCUCUCCUGGGUUGCCUGCGGCCCCUGUGUCACACCAGCCCCCGGCUCCCGGGGGCCUCCACAGCGUCCCGGGGGCCCCUUGGUUGUAGGAGUGGUGGCUGGGAGCUCCUGCCCCCUCAGCGGCGGGGGAGAGGCCGCAGGGACCGUGCAGGCAGUGCCAUCAGCCCCUCGGUGCGUGGAACCUCCCAGCGAGUGCUCAGGUGUGCUCAGGUGUGCUCAGGUAACAGCAGUGCCAUCGGUGCUCUGGUGCAGCCUCGCCCCUUCGGCCCCACCCCUCCCUAC